AUGGCGUGCGCGCUGCUGCCUGCAGGUUUGGCCGCGGCCCUACCGUCUCCUCGCCGGAGCGCCGCCGCCUCGAAGGGACAGUCGAACCAAGUCGCGUGCAGGGACCAGCUUCACUGGAAGCUGCCUUUAAUCCUACAUCUGAUUUCAUUUGAGCCCCACAGAUCCUGGAGCCUUGUUGGCCGCUGCACAUGUUCAGGUUCGUCGACAGGAGCAGCUAUGUCAAGGAGAUCUGAAGAUGCUCUGAAUCAGGUCGCGUGCACGAACCAGCUUCACUGGAAGCUGCCUUUAAGUGAAUCCCACAGAUCCUGGAGCCUUGUUGGCUGCUGCACAUGUUCAGGUUCGUCGACAGGAGCAGCUAUUUCAAGGAGAUCUGCAGAUGCUGUAAGUUUUCAUACCGAUGUAUCUCCGAGAGACUCUGGAUGCUGUUCUAGGUGCGCAGAUAGUUAUCUCUGGAUACUGGAUUGGCCCCAACAUGGAAGAUGGUAG
rnacentral:rRNA from 1 species